AUACGAGAGGUGCAAGCGUUGUUCGGAAUUACUGGGCGUAAAGGGAGCGUAGGCGGAGAUUCAAGCGGAUUGUACAAUCCCGGGGCCCAACCCCGGCUCUGCAGUCCGAACUGGAUCUCUUGGAUAGUUCAGGGGCAGGCGGAAUUCCUGGUGUAGCGGUGGAAUGCGUAGAGAUCAGGAAGAACACCGAUGGCGAAGGCAGCCUGCUGGGGACUUAUCGACGCUGAGGCUCGAAAGUGCGGGUAGCAAACAGGAUUAGAUACCCUGGUAGUCCGCACCGUAAACGAUGCAUACUGGGUGUCCGGGGGUUCCCCCGGGUACCGUAGCCAACGCGUUAAGUAUGCCGCCUGGGGAGUACGUACGCAAGUAUGAAACUCAAAUGAAUUGACGGGG
rnacentral:rRNA from 1 species